ensembl:snRNA U2 U2 spliceosomal RNA
AUCGCUUCUCGGCCUUUUGGCUAAGAUCAAGUGUAGUAUCUGUUCUUAUCAGUUUAAUAUCUGAUACGUCCCCUAUCUGGGGACCAUAUAUUAAAUUGAUUUUUGGAAUAGGGAGAUGGAAUAGGGGCUUGCUCCGUCCACUCCACGCAUCGACCUGGUAUUGCAGUACCUCCAGGAACGGUGCACCCCUU